rnacentral:rRNA from 1 species
GGGGAAUUGUUCGCAAUGGGCGCAAGCCUGACGACGCAACGCCGCGUGGAGGAUGAAGAUCUUCGGGUCGUAAACUCCUGUCGAGUGGGAAGAAUUGUUUCCGGGUGAAUAUCCCGGGAGUUUGACGGUACCACUAAAGAAAGCCCCGGCUAACUCCGUGCCAGCAGCCGCGGUAAUACAGAGGGUGCAAGCGUUGUUCGGAAUUACUGGGCGUAAAGCGCGUGUAGGCGGCUUUGUAAGUCGGACGUGAAAUCCCUCGGCUCAACCGAGGAACUGCGUCCGAUACUGCAGAGCUUGAGUGUCGGAGGGGAUGGCGGAAUUCCCGGUGUAGAGGUGAAAUUCGUAGAUAUCGGGAGGAACACCUGUGGCGAAGGCGGCCAUCUGGAAGACAACUGACGCUGAGACGCGAAAGCGUGGGGAGCAAA